CCCCCCCCCGUUUGAAGUGGGGAGGAGGGAGGGAGCCCUAAAUAAUCAUUCCGCAGGGAGAAAGACAGGCAGCCGGGAGAGAUUUCCCAUCUUUCAACAUCACUGAAUGGUUUCCUAUUCUGAGAGAAAGAAAGACAGACAAAACAGACAGACCAAAAGAGAAAGACCUCCCCUAAUUAAUUUUUCCACAAUGGUGCCAAUCUCCACAACCAGUAGCUUCCUAUCUGACAGAUGGAAUAAGCUUCCUUGCGGUGGGCCAAAUAUGUUUGGAUAGACCAUUGCAGACAACAAGCUCAGUUUUGGCAAGGUAAUGAGAACUGACUGGACUUUUUGAUGAUGUCACUGAAGGUUUAAAACCUAGUAAUGCUUAAAUGUAAUAUAAACGAAGGGAAAAUGAACUUCCAAGAAACACUGGGCAAAAUGUUUGAUUACACCAAGACUUGCAGAACUCUUUGGAUGACUAGCAGAGGUGGUAUUCAGCCAGCUCUGACAGGUUCUGGAGAACCGGUAGUGGAAAUUUUGAGUAGUUCAGAGAACUGGCACAUAGGCUGUAGUGCCAUUGCCUCCUCCCAGCUGAUCUUCUUUUGUUGCCCUGAACAGGAGAAUGGAUCUGGAAAGCAGGU